AUGGCUCUCCCCGAGUGCCCGCGUGCGUGUGUUGACAGCAGAUCUACCCUUGUGCCAUCAGUGAUUGCUACAUAUAUGAACAACUCAAUUCACAGGCUUUAUUUUUGCCAUCUUACACAAAUUACCAGUAAACCUUGGUUUGAUAAAUUUAUUUUUGGUUUCAUCUUCCAGAUUUGUAUAUAUUGCUUGAUGGAAACCCUUCAUUUGCAUUCCUGUCUCUUAUGUUCAGAUUUUGCACUAUUGCCAUUUGACUUCUUCAGUUUUGUGAAUUUGCUCGUUUCAUCUGGUCAUUGUCAGGUUUGUUCUGUUAUUUUGUUUGUUAUGUUUCUAGUAUCUUUUCUGUUGUUGUUUGCCUAUUUGAUCUGA
rnacentral:rRNA from 1 species